ACAUCACAUUGAAUUGCCAGUUCCCUUACAAUCACUGAAGUUAAGCAAUGUCAAGCCUGGACAAUACCUAGAUUGGUUACCACUUGGGAAUACCAGGUGCUGUAA